AGCCGAAACGCGAAAUGCGUCUCUCGGAGGCAGCCUCCCGAGACUGAUGAUGGCAGGCAUUG
rnacentral:hammerhead_ribozyme from 1 species